UGUGGCUACCCUAGAACCUGUCAGCCAUAGCAAUACCAGUUAAUCCACUAGGAAUCAAAUGCAAAGUUAGGAUAAUACAGCCAUCAUGAGAGGCCAGAAGAGUCCUUUAGUUAUUCAGAAAACAGGAAAUGUAUGCAGCAAGUAGAAUGACCUUUAAAAUUCAUUGGAAGAAAGUCAAAUGCUUGCCACGUCUACCAGCAUCCAUUACAUUGAGGAAUUAUUCAUUGGAUGAUGAAUAAUCUCUCCCUGAUGUAGGCACCACUGGGAACACAAGACAACAUGGGGAGAGUUGCACUAAUAUUCCCCUCUGGGCAGAUA